rnacentral:lncRNA from 1 species
ACCCUCGGCGGUCCGGGGCCGAGGAGGCGGCAGUGGCGGCAGAGCUAGGGUGCGAGCUCCGCAGGAGGUCCCUGGAGCCUAACACCCCGAAAGCCAGACCUCGCGCCCAGGCCCCCGCUACACACCUUAGAACCUUUGAAACCAAACCUUCUUCGGGUCCGCGAAUGCUUUCGGAGCGCCCAUUCUGUGUCUGCCAAUUUCACCUGGACGAUGUUGGUGAAUCCUCGCCACACUGCCCUCGAUGGUCCCAUUCAGAAGUGGAAACUGAGGCUGGAGAAAGUUAAGCCAGACAAAUGCGAGUCUUCCGAUCCUUGUGCAGGGCUCUUUGGAUCAAAGCGCUGCGUUCCCGUGAGAAACUGACCAGAGCUUCCCAGGAUUCUCCUCCUUCCCCUUUAACCUCCAGCCCCCACCUGCCCCGCUGUCUCUUCCAGAAUUUUGCUCCUGUUGCCC